CAAGUCGAACGAAGUCCAUGGAGCUUGCUCCGGAAGACUUAGUGGCGAACGGGUGCGUAACACGUGAGAAACUGCCCCGGACUUUGGGAUAACAGUUGGAAACGACUGCUAAUACCGAAUACCACCAUUUCCUCGCAUGAGGAGAUGAUGAAAGGUCCGCCGGUCCGGGAGGGUCUCACGGCCUAUCAGCUUGUUGGAGAGGUAACGGCUCACCAAGGCAUCGACGGGUAGCUGGUCUGAGAGGAUGAUCAGCCACACUGGGACUGAGACACGGCCCAGACUCCUACGGGAGGCAGCAGUGGGGAAUCUUGCACAAUGGGCGCAAGCCUGAUGCAGCAACGCCGCGUGCGGGAAGAAGGCCCUAGGGUUGUAAACCGCUUUCAGUAGGGAAGAAAAUGACGGUACCUACAGAAGAAGGUGCGGCCAACUACGUGCCAGCAGCCGCGGUAACACGUAGGCACCAAGCGUUAUCCGGAUUUAUUGGGCGUAAAGAGCUCGUAGGCGGUUCAGUCAGUCGGGUGUGAAAACUUGAGGCUUAACCUCAAGAGGUCACUCGAUACUACUGUGACUAGAGUGCGGUAGGGGAGCGGGGAAUUCCUGGUGUAGCGGUGAAAUGCGCAGAUAUCAGGAGGAACACCAGUGGCGAAGGCGCCGCUCUGGGCCGUAACUGACGCUGAGGAGCGAAA
rnacentral:rRNA from 1 species